UAAGUAUAUAUGAUAAUGAAAAAAACAACAAAAGCUUUUCUUCUUCUAAGUUGGCUUCACAUACUCCUAUGUCUAUCCUGUCAGGUUCGUGUCACAGAGGCUAGAUUCCGUCACUUAGGUAUAUGUGCAAAACCUUCCCCAUCAUGUGGAGAUUCUCAGGGAAGCCAUCAAGUUAAUGGACAACAAGAUAAGCCUUGUAAACGCAUUCCAAGACCACCUCCUCCUAGAGACUGCUAGCAACGUUAGACCAUGAUUAUCGGUCGUUUUUAAAGGGGUUCUUACGUGAAAUUGGUGAUUUAAUUAAAUCCAAAAAAAAGAAAAUUACUUUUUAACAGAAGAAACGUCGCUUAAUUAAGGGAAGGAAGAGACGUCGCUUAUGGAACACGCGUCAAAGUCUCCUCCUCUCUCUCUCGCUCAUCUCUCCUCUCUUUCUUUGCCGGUGUGAAGUCUAAAGAAGAAGACCGGUUCACGAAUCCUGAUCCUUCGACCUCUAGAGCGAUUGAUGCCAAGACCUCUGAGUUUGCAUCUGGGCUUCUUGGCUUAAGCUCUCUUUCUCUGGGUUACAUCAACUGAGUUUUUUCAUAAAACUGUUGCUUCUUCCCAGGGAGGGGAGGAAAACAAGAAUGGCGUUUGCUAAAAUGUUUUUGCUUUUCAGCAAAUUUCAGCAGCUUGCGGCAUUGUAGAAUCAUGACAACUGCAAUAUGAAGCUGACAUUAACAAGCUUUUUAUGUUUACAAAGCUAUAAUCGUUUGGGGAGAGAUGCUGAGGAGGCUGAUGCAGAAGAGAUCACUAAGAUGGCUGGUAAAGCCACUUUAUCUGAGCAACAGAAGCAAGUACAAGAGAACAUUCACUACCAACUCCAAAACUUGGAAAGUUGAAGAUUUGUCAUUCUCAUUAAUGUAUGGGAUGUUUUUGAAGCAUAUGAGUUUUGAUUAUGUCAAGCUUUGGGUUGUGUGUGUUGCGAUUGAUACAUAGCUUUUCUUUGGGAGCAUCAUUCAGUAGAAGUUACUGAUGAGAACCGUGAAGCUGCUCAAGAAGCUAAAGGCAAAGCCAUGGAGGCUCUCUCUGAAGGAAACUUCGAAGAAGCAAUUGAGCAUCCGACAUCAGCUAUCAUAUACGGGAACAGAG